CUCACAGUGAACAUCAGUGCUCAGGGGACACGUGCUUGAGUGACAGGCAGCCUCUCCAAGGAGAAUGCGUUUCUAGAGGGUGCUAAAGUUAACCUCCGUCUCACCAGCCAUCAGUCUCCGCCGUGUCAGGGAGCAUGCUUAGGGAAGGCUGGCGACUCUACAGCCACAGAUGUCUCACAGCUUGUCCACGAACCUCUGAAGUUCCUGUAUUUUGUCAUCACCUAUUAAAAGAAAUUUAAAAUCAGCACAUCUUUGGAGUUUAAGAAACUACCGAAGAAAAGGGUGUUUUUAUUUUCUUUCCUUUUUAUGACAGGGUUUCAGGUAGCCCAGGCUAGCCUCAAAUUAGCAAAUAGUGGAGGAUGGUCUUGGACUUGUGAUCUUCCUGCCUCUACCUCCCAAGCUGAAAUGACUGACUACUGGUGUGUUCCACUAUGCCUGGCUUACGUGCUGGGGAUGGAAACCAGGGACUACGCAGUCUUCACCAGAAUUCCACGGAGAAUUCCCUUUGCCCUUGGAUGAAACCAGAUCUGGCCAGUUUACUGCGAUGGGAAUGAGGUACUGGAAGGGUUCUGCGUGUUACAACCUCCAGGUCCCAGACAGGGGAACAGUCAUACCCUUCUCUGGAAGAAAAACAAAAACCCAAACAAUCCUCAUCUGCAUUUGCAGCUCUGGACGAGGUCACAUCAGUCAGCAUGAUUCAUCACCCUUGUUUGGGGACAUUCCACCUGCUAUUCAUCCUUUCGAUACUUUUCUGUACCUGUGCCACAUUUCCUUUAGACACCCAUCUGGGGGUGCCUGGAUUGAUGCUGUAUUGGCUGUUGGCUGCUGUGAGUGCCCAUGGAGCUGAGCAGGAAUGGGGUUAUUUGUUGAAGAAUGGCCAACUUACCAACUAUACCACUGAAGAAAAGAAAAUGAUGCCUUUCCCCCUAACAACCCUUAACUGCCAAUGGUGCCCUGUGGGCUCCUCCCUGUUCAUGCUGAAAUGCUGAGAGACCAAUCUUGUGCAGGUAUUGUACAGCUAUUCUUUCAUCCAUCUUGAUAGAACCACUGCCUCCUACUGGUCAGCAGUACACAAGGGCUGGCUUUGGCGUCUCAGGAAGAACACUCACUUCUCUCCUGAAAACUAAAAGGGCAGAGGCCUAGAGAGAUGUUUGUUCCACAGCUGAAACUUAAGUCUCAAGUCUCUUUCCAGUGAGUUUUCAGUCAGUAAGAGGGGUCCAGAGAGACAAUGGGGAGGAGGGAGGGGCCUCGGGCUCAUGCAUGGCAGGAUUGACACGUGGCAUCCAUCAGAGGCAUGCCUUCCUUUUCUGUUUUGGCCAGAACCUCACAAUUGAGGUUUCUGCCCUUCAGUUGGCUAAAAAGAAUCUAGGAAAGUCUUCUCUUCAGCAAAAUGGGCUUGGAAAGGGCAGAGGGCCAAAGUAAGAAAAGAGGCAGGGGGACUAUUUAGAUGACCUGUGGUACAAAAAGGCUGAGGUGGGAGGGCCACCUGAGCUCAUAAAUGUGACAAUAAAAUGUCCUCAUAAAUGUCCUCAGUAACCAAAGCAGAACCUGCUCCCUCCAAACAAACAAUAAACAACAAGAGAGAGAACUUCCUUGGGGAGAAAACCAUGCAUUUGGACAAGAAAGCAAUAUCUCCGCUGAGCAUAAAUGUUUUCUGUCGAUUUUUGUUUUUAAUCUACAUUUUUAAAAUUAAUAUUCAAUUGCAUUAUAAUACAGAAAUGACUGUGUAAUAACAAUCUGUCCACUGAAGUGAUGAAAUACCAUUUAGUAUGUGUUGUGGCCAACUGUUUACUUUUGUGUUGUAGUCAACUGUGUACUUGACUUUGGGUCUACUUGACUCAGUAAAUUCAACCUUCAUCAAGCUGAGAUCCGUCUACCAGGUACAGUGCAGGAAAGAGACUGUCAACUUCUUUCUGAUUCUUCUACAUCUUUUUCUGAGAAGAACAUUCAGCCAGAUUCAUAACAUCAUUUUACAACAGCAGGUUCGUUUUAAAAAGACUCCCAUAAGAAAACAAAAAAACUUAAGCUCACCUUGGGGAAGCUUUCAGCAUCCCCGGCAGCCGCUCCAGCUGGCCUUCCUUACCCCAGAGUUUGGAUCAAAGACACCUGAAGUGUAGCAGAAGUCCAGACUUUCAGAAAAAUGUCUGCACAUGCAGAGAGUUCACACAGCAAAAGGAAAACACAGAGGCUUGCUCCCGGAGGAAGCACGCUCACCCUUCACACUGCUUCUGCUUCAGCCGUCAUUGCUUAUUCACAGUCUGCUUUCCUCCAUGACUUCUUGAUCUCAGUAGACAAGGCUAAGUCCCACAAGAUGCAAAACUCCGUUAAGGCACACUUACCUGAACCUCCAGUUACAGAAGUGGAAUAGCUCCAACAUUUAUAAACAAUGUAUUUUAUAUAUUGCUAGAAUAAUUUAUGUUUUCCCCCAAGAAUCACAUCUGAUGUUUGGUUGCCUGCAGUGAAUUUUAUUCUUGGGUGAAAUGUUUGGGCUUAAAAUGGAGACCAGAAAAAUCUUCGUUUAGAAUGACAUUUAGUUCUGUAGUAGGAACUGUCUGGUUUUCAGGUCAUCUUGCUCCUGUUACUCUAACUUAACUUAAAAUUCUGCAUCAGUGGGGAUGGGAAGUAGCUAAGUGGGUGAAGUGUUCUAGGUGCUGAAUCUUCAUCAUUGCAUAAAACAAGCUCGUUGGCUUACAAAUGUAACCCCAGUAUCCAGUAGAUAGAGGCAAGAGGAUCACAAGUUCAAUAUCAUCCUCAUCUACAUGGUAAGUUUGAGGCUAGACUGGGUUACAUAUGGCCUGGAGGCCAGUUGUUGUACUGGGUACCUGACCCAUGGGGAGUGCAAACGGAGCUUUAAAGAACUCAAUAUGUUUGUGUUUCCAAAAGCAUUCACUCAAUA